UCUUCCUUUUAUUUUCCCUUUCUUUCAAACCGUUCCAUUUUUCUCCCUUACCUCUUUGUUCAUCAAACCCUGCUCUCUCUCUGUUUCUCUGGUCUCUCUUCUUCGUUCGAUAGUAUGGAUUGAUAAAAUAUUUUGAUACACAAUGGAUAUACCGUUGAAGGAAGUCUGAGGGGUUUUUGAGGGUUGGUUUUGAUAGUUGAAAAUGGUGACUUUAAACCCAUUUGAUUUACUGGGAGAUGAUGACACUGAAGACCCAUCAUAGCUGAUUGCUGCUCAGAAGGUUCCUGUGGCCGUAGCUAAGAAAACCCAGCUCCUGCAGCAGCUCAGCAGCAGCAAUCCAAGCCGACGGCUAAGCUUCCUUCGAAGCCGCUCCCCCCAGCUCAAGCUGGUUUUUGUCUUGUUUAACAUAAGCGCUAUUUAAGAUUGUGAAAACUUCAAUUAUGUUGGAAGAUUGCUAUGCGCUCCAGUGGUGACUUUUUUUUCGAUUUGCAGCACUCUCGAUUUUCAAGUAAAAGGUUGCCGCUGAAGCUCAAGUCCAUGCAGCUGCUACUGUCUCUCUUGUACCAUUUUUGGAUAGGAAGGGAAAUUUCCUGAGGUCAUGCAAGCUGCACAACCCUGUUAAUGUGCCAGAUUAUCACUCUAUAGACAGAAGCUCAGCUAAAAGGACAUUACAGAUGUAACUAACAAAGACUUCGAUGCAAAAAAAAAAGAUUGGAAAUGAUUCAGAUAGGUUGUCUUCAAUUGAGUCAAAAAGUGCAUUGGUUGGGAAUGAGCCAAAAAAAUGAAGGGUUAUUGUCUGCUACAUCCUCCUCACAUGGCAAGCUGCUGAAGAUUGUAAUGCAAAAAUACAUAAGGAGCUAUCCAAAUGACUAAAAGCCUUUUUAGUGAUAGCCUCUGGAGACCCAAAUUUUCUUCAUAGUGUUUCACUCAGAAAUGCAACGUAAUCUCUGAUGUUUGCUUGUAAGAGAGGUGCUGCACGUUUAUUUGAAGAGUAUAGUGCUCAAACUCGCUCAAAUGAUGAAUAAUGAUAGUGGUGUUUCUGACACAUUACAUUCAUUAUUCAGAGUUUGAAGACUACUGGACCUGUAGGCUUUAAAAGUCCUGUUCACAAUUUUCUUGGAAGAAUUGGCUGCAAGAAGCAUUUGACAAGAUGUCUACCUCUGGCAAAGCUUUAGAACCUGCAUUUCAGAGAGCUGGUCGGAGAGUAGGGACAGAGAUUUGGAGAAUUGAAAACUUCCAACCAGUUCCUUUGCCAAAAUCUGAUCAUCAUAAAUUCUACUCGGGUGAUUCAUACACCAUCUUGCAGACAUCAAUUGCCAAGGAAGCAGCAUAUAUUAUUGUUGGAAUGGCUUUAUCAAAACGGCUGCUAUUGAUGUUGAACAUUAGAGGAAAAGAUUGCUGCAAUGGCUUACGCCAUAUUUUUUGUACGUGUAAGUAGGAUGCUUUGCUGUUCCUGCCAAACAACUUUUAUGUAGCACUGCAGUGGCUUCAGCAAUAAAUUUUGAAUCAGCCAUGCUGCUGUAUAUGUAAAUGCUACACUUGGCUCUUUCUUUUGAACGACUACCAAACAAUUCUUGUACGAUACUCCAAUGACUUUAUCCUUUUGAAUUAUAGCAUCGUAUCAAGACAUUGCUUUUGCA